rnacentral:rRNA from 1 species
GACAGAGGUGCCGAGCGUUAGGCGGAAUCACUGGGCUUAAAGCGUGUGUAGGCGGAUCGUUAAGUGCCUUGUGAAAUCCCACGGCUCAACCGUGGAACUGCUUGGCAUACUGGCGAUCUUGAGCCACUUAGGGGCUACCGGAACAAAUGGUGGAGCGGUGAAAUGCGUAGAUAUCGUUUGGAACGCCAAUGGUGAAAACAGGUUGCUGGGGAUGUGCUGACGCUGAGACACGAAAGCCAGGGGAGCAAACGGG